CUGUGAUAGUGUGACUACUUUGAAUACUGGGGCCAAGGAACCAUGGUCACCGUCUCCUCAGCCAAAACAACAGCCCCAUCUGUCUAUCCUCUGGCCCCUGCUGCCUAUGAUAGGACAUCUGGAUCCACGGUGACCCUGGGAUGCCUGGUCAAGGGCUACUUCCCUGAGCCAGCCACCGUGACCUGGAACUCUGGAGCCCUGACCAGCGGCGUGCACACCUUCCCAUCUGUCCUGCAGUCUGGGCUCUACACCCUCAGCAGCUCCGUGACUGUACCUUCCAGCACCUGGCCCAGCCAGACUGUCACCUGCAACGUAGCCCACCCGGCCAGCAGCACCAAGGUGGACAAGACAGUUGGAGAAUACCACUGCAAGCCUUGCAAAUGUCCAGUCCCAGAAGUAUCAUCUGUCUUCAUCUUCCCCCCAAAGCCCAAGGACGUGCUCACAAUCUCUCUGACCCCCAAAAUCACGUGUGUGGUGGUAGACAUUAGCCAGGAUGAUCCCGAGGUGGAGAUCAGCUGGUUUGUGGAUGAUGUGGAAGUGCACACAGCUCAGACUCAACCCCGGGAGGAGCAGUUCAACAGCACCUUUCGAGUAGUCAGUACCCUCCCCAUCCUGCACCAGGACUGGCUCAACGGCAAAGAGUUCAAAUGCAAGGUCAACAGUGAAGCGUUCCCCUCCCCCAUUGAGAAAACCGUCUCCAAAAUGAAAGGGCAACCCCAGGCUCCACAGGUGUAUAUGAUGCCACCACCCAAGGAGCAGAUGACCAAGAACGAAGUCACUGUGAGCUGCUACGUAGGGGGUUUUUACCCACCAGACGUCAGCGUAGAGUGGCAGAGGAAUGGGGAGCCAGAGCCGAACUUCAAGAGCACCCAGCCCACCUUGGACACAGACGAAUCUUACUUCCUCUACAGCAAGCUCGAUGUAAAGAGGGCCAAUUGGGAGAAAGGAGAUGUUUUCACCUGCUCUGUGUUACACGAGGCCCUGCACAACCACCACACAGAGAAGAGUCUCCGCUACUCUCCUGGUAAAUGAGCCCAGGGUCCUGUGAGGCCUCUGUCCUAAGGGGCACUGAUACCUACCUCCACUCCUUCCCUGUGUAAAUAAAGCACCCAGUACUGCCCUGGGACCCUGCAAAAA